UUUGAAUGAAGAGAAAUUAACAUGUUUGUACCUUCCUGAUAUCAUGAAAUUUAAAUGGUCUGAGGGAGACCUUUGCUUGAAUGGGUUGUAUACCCCAAGGUCUCACCCAGGCUCUUCCCCCUAAGCUCAUUCUACUCGGAGACUAGUGACUCAAUAGUCCUAGGCUGCUUGGCUUACGGCUUCUUCCCAGAGCCUGUGGAUAUGACCUGGGAUUACAGUGGCUCUGGAGGUACAGUGAGGAACUACCCUGCUAUGCUGAUUGGCGACGCCUACACUCAAGCCAGUGUGCUAGACCUUCCUGCAGAUCAGUGCUCCAACACCCAGGCCUACGAGUGCCAAGUACAACACUAUGACACCAGUGCUAACCUGACGGUUCCCUGCAAAGUACAGGAUCCAAGCCAAUGUUGUUCCAAAACUGCUUACGUAUCCCUGAGUCCCCCUUCCCUGGAGAGCCUGCUCCUGGGCACAGGUGCCAACCUGACAUGUACACUCAGUGGCCUCAAGAGCAGUACUGGAGUCGAGUUUACCUGGGCACGCACUCCAGCCCCAGCAUCAACUUUGAGUCCAAUCCAGGGAACAGCUGAGCAGGAUUCUAGUGGCAAAUACAGCGUGUCCAGUGUCCUGGAGAUCUGUACUGAGGAGUGGAUCCGAGGUGAUGUCUUUUCCUGCACUGUGUCCCACCCUGAGAUAGAAACUACUACCAAGACCAUCUACAAGCCAAAAGUGACCCAGAUACCACCGCAGGUCUACGUGCUGCCACCAUCGGCAGAUGAACUAGCCUUAAAUGAACUGGUGACAAUCGUAUGCCUGGUGAGGGGUCACAGUCCGCAGGAAGCAUUGGUACAGUGGAUGAAGGGGUCUGAGAAGCUGCCUAGAGAAGACUACAUCACCAGUGACCCUCACCCAGAGCCCAGGGGAACCAACACCUUCAUAAUAUCCAGCAUCCUCCAAGUCUCAGCCUCUGAAUGGAAGGCAGAAAACAAAUAUUCCUGUGUGGUAGGCCAUGAAGCUCUUCCCCUGAACUUCACCCAGCAAACUAUCGACAGAUUCUCUGAUCAUUGGAAGGAAGUGAUGAUGUCCAACUGUCUUAAUGAGGAUUUUGUGGAGGAGGAUGAUAGAGAGGCCACCCUAUGGCCCAUGACAGUGACCUUCCUCACUCUGUUCCUGCUCAGCAUGUUCUACAAUACUACAGUGACCCUCAUCAAGACCAAGUCAGGCUCAGCUAUCAAGUACUAA